AACGCACCUUGCACCCUUUGGUAUUCCGAAGGGUACACCCGUUUGAGUGUCAUUGUAAUCUCACUACAACUACUUUAUUGUUGUUUGUAUGUGGAUCUGGAUGUUGCCGUGUAACAAACGGCUCGUCUGAAAUGCCUGAGUGUACCCUGCUUUGCGGCGUAUUCGGUGUGAUAAAUCUUCACCGGAGUUGACUUUCGGGUCGCGUUAUGCUUAACAUGGCUCUAUGCUUCCAACCGUCCUAACAAGACAACCUUUGACAAUUUGACCUCAAAUCGGGUGGGACUACCUGCUGAACUUAA
rnacentral:misc_RNA from 1 species